GCUGCGCCAGAACAUUGGAUACAGCCCUUUGCUAACACGCCUGUCCAUCAAUGUCCAAGAGGUAGAUGGCCAGAUUCCAGUUGCUAUGAAAGGUGACAUGCCGGUGGACAAGAGGAGGACAGUGAAGGUCUCACCCGAUAGCUUACAAGGAUAGAGUGCCGUAGAGCUGCUGCAAAGUGGCAGCUGGCAACACUGGCUAUAAAGGAAAUCUGACUCAGCUGGAAGACUUCACAAGUUGUUGCAGCAGUGACCAAAGGCAAGUUUGUUCUUAGGGCCAGCUUGUGGAUGGACAUUCCGAGGGGAGUAUCCUACUUCAAAGAGAACGACAUCAUUAAGGUUUCCAAGAUCUCUGCCACGCUGCUAAUUCUCUGCUGGAAUCCGAGAUGGGAGACACUGAGGGCCCUUCUGUUGAUGUAAAAGCCGUUGGAGGUGGACUCCGAGGAAGUCAUCCCACUCCUGGGCCUUCCCUGUGAUCUCAAGUCUCUGGAGUGCUUGUGGCAACGCAGUGGUUCUGUAGGUAAACCAAUGAGCUGCAAUAAGCAUGUACAUGCCCAUUUGCACUUCCCAAACUCUGUUGAGACAGGAUGUGUUAGGGGGGAUGUGGGGAUCACUAAUAGCAUUUUUUCCUUGGCACAUAGUGACGAAAUUGGGUGCACACACUCAAAAUUGCAUUGAAAAGGUUAAUCUAAAGGUGCAUUGAAGUGACACCAAAAUGAAAUGGUGAAUCAGUUUAUAUUGAUAGCUUAUUUUAUGAAAGCUCUACUGUCAUGAGUAUCAUCCUCAUGUGUUUGUUAUGCAAAAGAAAAUGGUGAGUGUUCAUUCUUAAAUUUUGCUCUGAAAUCUCUUUUCAUGGAUGUCAGCGUGAUGUCAUGGAUUCUAAGGCGUUUUUUUGUAUUUUUGCCAUAUUGGCUCUACGAAAUGUCCUGAAACUUGGUAUGUUUACUGUCUGGCCCCUUAGAGGACAGGGUACUUCAUUUUAACUGAUUUCGGACUACAUGGAUCCUAUUAGACACCCUCAAAAUUCAUGACAUCAUAGCAAGUUGGUGUGGGAACUUGAAGGUAGCAUUGCCACUUGUAUUUUCUUAUCGUGUGUGUUCUCGCUCUUCUUGUGGCAAUAGUUGUGGUUGUGGUAUUCUAAAAGGGUAAUUUACUGAUUUGACAGAAGCCGUGUCCUUCUCUUUCACAGCCCUUUAAGAUACCUUUAUUAAUGCUUUUUUUUAUAAGAACAUACAAGUUCCUUGCUUGUGGAACGGCUGACAUAGUGAUGAAAUGCAGGUUCGCUCACAUGUUGUUUGUCCAUCACAGAUUUCUUCUACUGCCCUAAUACAAUAGGACCCGGCCAUUCUGUUGCAGAAUACUGCGUUUUUCUGACUGCUACGUUGUUUU